CAUUCAGUCAUUUUUACUUUACCUCGUGUUAAGCUAAUAAGCAGAGGAAAUUUUACAAAAGUUUUCAUUUCAUAGGAGGAGCACAAGAAUACUGACCUAACGAGAACGGAAGGAAGGCCUCACGCCUUAUGAAGUUCCCACUGUUGUCCAGAAACCUUUCUGGAAUCGUGUACCCAUUGACUUUUGCGUCCUGGGAGGUGGCUCGGAAGAUACCAAGAGGCACAAUGUUGCAGAAGCGAAGGAUCUCA